rnacentral:rRNA from 1 species
GCCUAACACAUGCAAGUCGAGCGGCAGCAUGCUUAGUAGCAAUACUAAGUGAUGGCGAGCGGCGGACGGGUGAGGAACACGUAGGAACCUGCCCAAGAGAGGGGGACAACCAAUGGAAACGUUGGCUAAUACCGCAUAAUCUCUUAGGAGAAAAGUUGCCCGUAAGGGUAGCGCUUUUGGAGGGGCCUGCGUCCGAUUAGCUAGUUGGUGAGGUAAUAGCUCACCAAGGCUGUGAUCGGUAACUGGUCUGAGAGGACGACCAGUCACACUGGGACUGAGACACGGCCCAGACUCCUACGGGAGGCAGCAGUGGGGAAUCUUGGACAAUGGGGGCAACCCUGAUCCAGCGAUGCCGCGUGGGUGAAGAAGGCCUUCGGGUUGUAAAGCCCUUUAGGCUGGGACGAAGGAUGUGGGACGAAUAAUCCUGCAUUUUGACGGUACCAGCAGAAUAAGCACCGGCAAACUCUGUGCCAGCCGCCGCCGUAA